rnacentral:rRNA from 1 species
UAGGGAAUCUUCCACAAUGGACGCAAGUCUGAUGGAGCAACGCCGCGUGAGUGAAGAAGGUCUUCGGAUCGUAAAACUCUGUUGUUAGAGAAGAACACGAGUGAGAGUAACUGUUCAUUCGAUGACGGUAUUUAACCAGAAAGUCACGGCUAACUACGUGUCAG